UACGGAGGGGGCUAGCGUUGUUCGGAAUUACUGGGCGUAAAGCGUCCGCAGGUGGCACUUCAAGUCUGUCGUCAAAGACUGGGGCUUAACCCUGGAAAGGCGGUGGAAACUGAAGCGCUAGAGUGCGGUAGGGGUAGAGGGAAUUCCCGGUGUAGCGGUGAAAUGCGUAGAGAUCGGGAAGAACAUCGGUGGCGAAAGCGCUCUACUGGACCGCAACUGACACUCAGGGACGAAAGCUAGGGGAGCGAAUGGG
rnacentral:rRNA from 1 species